rnacentral:tRNA from 1 species
AUUUAAAUAGCUUAUAAUAGAGCAUUGUAUUGAAGAUACAAAGGAAAUAUUAAAUAUUUUUAAAUA